rnacentral:rRNA from 1 species
UAGUCACACUGGAACUGAGACACGGUCCAGACUCCUACGGGAGGCAGCAGUGGGGGAUAUUGCACAAUGGAGGGAACUCUGAUGCAGCAACGCCGCGUGGAGGAUGACACAUUUCGGUGCGUAAACUCCUUUUAUAUGAGAAGAUAAUGACGGUAUCAUAUGAAUAAGCACCGGCUAACUCCGUGCCAGCAGCCGCGGUAAUACGGGGGGUGCAAGCGUUACUCGGAAUCACUGGGCGUAAAGAGCAUGUAGGCUGGUAGAAAAGUUGGAAGUGAAAUCCUAUGGCUUAACCAUAGAACUGCUUCCAAAACUCCCUACCUAGAAUAUGGGAGAGGUAGAUGGAAUUUCUGGUGUAGGGGUAAAAUCCGUAGAGAUCAGAAGGAAUACCGAUUGCGAAGGCGAUCUACUGGAACAUUAUUGACGCUCAGAUGCGAAAGCGUGGGGAGCAAACAGGAUUAGAUACCCUGGUAGUCCACGCCCUAAACGAUGCACACUAGUUGUUGCCAUACUAGAUAUGGCAGUAAUGCAGUUAACACAUUAAGUGUGCCGCCUGGGGAGUACGGUCGCAAGAUUAAAACUCAAAGGAAUAGACGGGGACCCGCACAAGCGGUGGAGCAUGUGGUUUAAUUCGACUAUACGCGAAGAACCUUACCUGGCCUUGACAUAGAAAGAACUUAUCAGAGAUGAUUUGGUGCUAGCUUGCUAGAACUUUCAUACAGGUGCUGCACGGCUGUCGUCAGCUCGUGUCGUGAGAUGUUGGGUUAAGUCCCGCAACGAGCGCAACCCUCGUGUUUAGUUACUAACAGUUCGGCUGAGGACUCUAGACAGACUGCCUUCGCAAGGAGGAGGAAGGUGAGGACGACGUCAAGUCAUCAUGGCCCUUACGGCCAGGGCUACACACGUGCUACAAUGGGGUAUACAAAGAGCAGCAAUACGGUGACGUGGAGCAAAUCUCAUAAAAUAUCUCCCAGUUCGGAUUGUAGUCUGCAACUCGACUACAUGAAGUUGGAAUCGCUAGUAAUCGUAGAUCAGCAAUGCUACGGUGAAUACGUUCCCGGGUCUUGUACUCACCGCCCGUCACACCAUGGGAGUUGAUUUCAUUCGAAGCGGGGAUGCUAAAAUAGCUACCUUCCACAGUGGAAUUAGCGACUAGGGUGAAGUCGAACAAGGUAACCGUAGGAGAACCUGCGGUUG